AAAAAGCCCACAGAAAAUGAAAAGCCCACAUGCUUGUCCAUUGCUGCAGGAUGGGGGAAACAGCAAACACCAUUCGCUCACUCGAGUUAGAUAAACACUGAGCGAAAAGUCACUGGAGCCCAAGGACUGUGCGGGGUCAGUGCUGCCGAUACAAGAACCGCAGCCCUCCAGCUCGGCUCCCUCAACGGCCUGCGCUGCAGCCACACUGGCCUCCUUUCAGGUGUCUGUCUCUCCUGCCAGAGUGUAUACACCAGUUGGACAAGGACGCUGCCUUAUUC
rnacentral:lncRNA from 1 species